GAAUCAGUAAGCUCACUCCCCGAAAAAUGCAUUGUUUUCAAUGUUCCAAUUUGGCGAAUCUGCGCAAAGUCGUCCAAAAUUCGUUUCACCGUGCGCAUCCGAUGAGAGCGGAUACGUUUGCCGAUUGGUCGUGACCGCCAUCUGAUUUUCAUGAAUUUUGUGAGGUUGUGUUUGGGAAUUGUUUGUUGUUUUGGUUAAUUUACCAAUUUAUUUUCAUACAUUUUUCAUAUUAAUAAUAGGUAGUUAUGUAUAUUAUGUACUGUGAAUGUGAUAUUAUUUUCUUAAAUCAAUCAAAUGGAGAUGAAGCAAGCAGAAAACAAUUUUUACAAGGAACAAUGUAAAAUUAAAAUCGAAAGUUCUGGACAACCUGUGUGAUGCUGUAAUAAUUAUGUUCCUAUUCUGUUAAAACUGAGAUAGAGAGUCUUUAAAACUGAUAAAAAUAGUUAUUUCUAUGAUGGAAAUUCUUUGGACCAAAUAAAUAGAGAAGUUAUUAUUGAAGACAUCAAAUAAAAGGAGGAAAAUUUAUGUGAAAAAUGAUUUUCAUAAUAAAAGAAGAACUGACGUUAUUAUGAAACCAGUGUAUGGACGGUGUGUUUUACUGACUUAAAGCAAGAGUACCUUUUAUACUUGAAUUUGUCACAUUUUUUAAUUUCAUAAUUUUAUUUAUGUAAGUUGUGAUCGUAAAAAUAUUGUUAAGUUGUAUUCAUAGUUCUCUACUUGUUCUUUUGAAGUACUGUUUUUAUUAUAAUUGGUAUUGUAAAGUUGAAAUCCUCAAAUCAAAAUAUAAUUUAUAAUUCGAA